rnacentral:ncRNA from 1 species
CCAAAGACGUUGAAGAGGACGAGUAAGCGCUGCCCCGUCGGCACAGAGAGCAGGGAAGAAGGUGAAAGCCUGCCCGAACCGCGGCGCCGAAUGGACCUCGGAGUUGCAGGGCGAAAGGAAUUUUUUCGAGUAGCCCGCGCCGGAGUUGCCACCGUUAUCCGGGCAAAGGGUAUCGCCUUCGGGCUGUACCCGCAACGAGUGAGGCUGGCUUUCUUUCCCUGUUGUGCAUCACGACAGGGAUUUUCGAUUAAAGCCCCAGCCUAAUCUGGGUGGCACCACGGACCUGCGUUCGUCCCGGAA